GACGAACGUUGGCGGCGUGCUUAACACAUGCAAGUCGAACGGAAAGGCCCUGCUUUUGUGGGGUGCUCGAGUGGCGAACGGGUGAGUAACACGUGAGUAACCUGCCCUUGACUUUGGGAUAACUUCAGGAAACUGGGGCUAAUACCGGAUAGGAGCUCCUGCUGCAUGGUGGGGGUUGGAAAGUUUCGGCGGUUGGGGAUGGACUCGCGGCUUAUCAGCUUGUUGGUGGGGUAGUGGCUUACCAAGGCUUUGACGGGUAGCCGGCCUGAGAGGGUGACCGGCCACAUUGGGACUGAGAUACGGCCCAGACUCCUACGGGAGGCAGCAGUGGGGAAUAUUGCACAAUGGGCGGAAGCCUGAUGCAGCAACGCCGCGUGCGGGAUGACGGCCUUCGGGUUGUAAACCGCUUUCGCCUGUGACGAAGCGUGAGUGACGGUAAUGGGUAAAGAAGCACCGGCUAACUACGUGCCAGCAGCCGCGGUGAUACGUAGGGUGCGAGCGUUGUCCGGAUUUAUUGGGCGUAAAGGGCUCGUAGGUGGUUGAUCGCGUCGGAAGUGUAAUCUUGGGGCUUAACCCUGAGCGUGCUUUCGAUACGGGUUGACUUGAGGAAGGUAGGGGAGAAUGGAAUUCCUGGUGGAGCGGUGGAAUGCGCAGAUAUCAGGAGGAACACCAGUGGCGAAGGCGGUUCUCUGGGCCUUUCCUGACGUUGAGGAGCGAAAGCGUGGGGAGCGAACAGGCUUAGAUACCCUGGUAGUCCACGCUGUAAACGGUGGGUACUAGGUGUGGGGUCCAUUCCACGGGUUCCGUGCCGUAGCUAACGCUUUAAGUACCCCGCCUGGGGAGUACGGCCGCAAGGCUAAAACUCAAAGGAAUUGACGGGGCCCCGCACAAGCGGCGGAGCAUGCGGAUUAAUUCGAUGCAACGCGUAGAACCUUACCUGGGUUUGACAUGGAUCGGGAGUGCUCAGAGAUGGGUGUGCCUCUUUUGGGGUCGGUUCACAGGUGGUGCAUGCCUGUCGUCAGCUCGUGUCGUGAGAUGUUGGGUUAAGUCCCGCAACGAGCGCAACCCUUGUUCACUGUUGCCAGCACGUUAUGGUGGGGACUCAGUGGAGACCGCCGGGGUCAACUCGGAGGAAGGUGGGGAUGACGUCAAGUCCUCAUGCCCCUUAUGUCCAGGGCUUCACGCAUGCUACAAUGGCUGGUACAGAGAGUGGCGAGCCUGUGAGGGUGAGCGAAUCUCGGAAAGCCGGUCUCAGUUCGGAUUGGGGUCUGCAACUCGACCUCAUGAAGUCGGAGUCGCUAGUAAUCGCAAAUCAGCAACGCUGCGGUGAAUNCGUUCCCGGG
rnacentral:rRNA from 1 species